rnacentral:rRNA from 1 species
CCUACGGGGGGCUGCAGUGAGGAAUAUUGGUCAAUGGACGAGAGUCUGAACCAGCCAAGUAGCGUGAAGGAUGACUGCCCUAUGGGUUGUAAACUUCUUUUAUAAAGGAAUAAAACGAGGCACGUGUGCCUUGUUGCAUGUACUUUAUGAAUAAGGAUCGGCUAACUCCGUGCCAGCAGCCGCGGUAAUACGGAGGAUCCGAGCGUUAUCCGGAUUUAUUGGGUUUAAAGGGAGCGUAGAUGGGUUGUUAAGUCAGUUGUGAAAGUUUGCGGCUCAACCGUAAAAUUGCAAUUGAUACUGGCAGUCUUGAGUACAGUUGAGGUAGGCGGAAUUCGUGGUGUAGCGGUGAAAUGCUUAGAUAUCACGAAGAACCCCGAUUGCGAAGGCAGCUUACUAAACUGUGACUGACAUUGAGGCUCGAAAGUGUGGGUAUCAAACAGGAUUAGAUACCCUAGUAGUC